rnacentral:lncRNA from 1 species
CGGGGGGGGCGUGGGUCCUCACCUUCCCGGCCCCUGGAGCACCACGUUGCUGCUCACCAUGCUGAGUCUUCCCAGAGGUCAUCCCAGACCUCACCGUGACACCAGGGACCACGUGAGGCACCUUCGGAGAGCUGACUUUGCAGGGUUCUGCCCCUGCACCAGGCUGCAGGACAGGCCGACCUCGGGCCGCACCCAGGCUAGGACGCACCCGCCUUCCUUCGGGGUGCAUAUAGACGCAGGCUGGAGCCGCUGGAGCCCCAGGAGCUUAACAUGGUGGGGUGCAUUUUACCCCCACAGAAGCGUUGUUAACAAUUGUCAAGCUCUCUGUGAGUCAACCAGUCUGGAGACAAGUAGGCUGGGCAUCAAUGAUAGACCUUCGGAGCACCGUUAGCAACUGGAAUGUGAACUCAUUUCUGGCCCUAGAAAAGAACAACUGUGAAGAACAGGAAUCUAGUUUCUACUCCUGCGAAGAUCCUCUGAUCAGUUGAGGAAGAAGGUGUCUCUGGCCAAUGUCAGGCAUGAGAGGGAGAGCUAAGGAAGGAGAUCUGACUGCACCUGCCAGUAGCAGUCUUGCUCUGGGCUUCCUGUUCCCACUCACACACAGAAAUAAUACAAUGCAUUUCAUGAAAUGAAGGAAAUAUGAUGAUGUAUUUUGCCAUAGUCCUGUAGCCACAAGGUACAGUUCAUCUCCUGGGUCCUUAAUAUACAAUCCUAGGUCGGCAAACC